rnacentral:rRNA from 1 species
AUGAACGCUGGCGGCGUGCCUCAUACAUGCAAGUCGAGCGAACAGACGAGGAGCUUGCUCCUCUGACGUUAGCGGCGGACGGGUGAGUAACACGUGGAUAACCUACCUAUAAGACUGGGAUAACUUCGGGAAACCGGAGCUAAUACCGGAUAAUAUAUUGAACCGCAUGGUUCAAUAGUGAAAGACGGUUUUGCUGUCACUUAUAGAUGGAUCCGCGCCGCAUUAGCUAGUUGGUAAGGUAACGGCUUACCAAGGCAACGAUGCGUAGCCGACCUGAGAGGGUGAUCGGCCACACUGGAACCGAGACACGGUCCAGACUCCUACGGGAGGCAGCAGUAGGGAAUCUUCCGCAAUGGGCGAAAGCCUGACGGAGCAACGCCGCGUGAGUGAUGAAGGUCUUCGGAUCGUAAAACUCUGUUAUUAGGGAAGAACAAAUGUGUAAGUAACUAUGCACGUCUUGACGGUACCUAAUCAGAAAGCCACGGCUAACUACGUG